AGUGCUUAAGCAGGCUUUACGCCUGAAUAAUGUUGCAUGGAAUAAUAGAAUAGGACCUCGGUUUUAUUUUGUUGGUUUUGUAGAGCAUUGAGGUAAUGAUUAAUAGGGACAGACGGGGGCAUUCGUAUUGCGGUGUUAGAGGUGAAAUUCUUGGAUCGCCGCAAGACGAACAACUGCGAAAGCAUUUGCCAAGAAUGUUUUCAUUAAUCAAGAACGAAAGUUGGAGGUUCGAAGACGAUUAGAUACCGUCCUAGUUCCAACCAUAAACGAUGCCAACUAGCGAUUAGCUGCUGUUAAUCAAACGACACAGCUAGCAGCUUCCGGGAAACCAAAGUUUUUGGGUUCCGGGGGAAGUAUGGUUGCAAAGCUGAAACUUAAAGGAAUUGACGGAAGGGCACCACCAGGAGUGGAGCCUGCGGCUUAAUUUGAC
rnacentral:rRNA from 1 species